AUACGGAGGGUGCAAGCGUUAUCCGGAAUCACUGGGUUUAAAGGGUGCGUAGGCGGCUUGGUAAGUCAGGGGUGAAAGUCUGCCGCCCAACGGUAGAAUUGCCUUUGAUACUGCCAGGCUCGAAUAAGCGCGAGGCAGGCGGAAUGUGGCAUGUAGCGGUGAAAUGCAUAGAUAUGCCAUAGAACACCAAUUGCGUAGGCAGCUUGCCAGAGCUUUAUUGACGCUGAGGCACGAAAGCGUGGGGAGCGAACAGGAUUAGAAACCCUAGUAGUCC
rnacentral:rRNA from 1 species